rnacentral:rRNA from 1 species
AUGGAGCACGGACGAGAUGAGCAAGCAGAAGAUGUGUUGGGGGACAUAAUCUUAGCCGGAGGUGAUAUCUUGUCGUAUCUUAACGACAAUGAUGGUCUGGAAGAACAGGCUGAAGAAGCAGGCUGCGGUGAUCGAAGAGUGGAGGAGGAAAGACAUGAUUAUGAUGGCUCCGGUGACCCAAUGCUAGUGCAAGAAGGAGCCCGUGGUGACGGCUCCGGUGACCGAACAGAGUCCGGCCAGCCCUCCGGAUCGAGCACAACUGCGGUAAAGAGACGAGGCCCGAAGAGAAAGUUGCGCUCGGAUGAAAGGUUUGAGAUCACAGCAAUCGCGCGCGACGGCCAACCGAUUGAACCCCUCCGGACAAAGGAUGCUUUUGCUGCUCAGUGCGGGGUUCUAGUUAGGGACAAGAUCCCGAUCAGCAUCCACCAAUGGUAUAAGCCUAAGAAGGAAGACCCUGAGGUGUCUUAUGUCAAUGAUAUGCAGAAAGAUGAUCUUUGGACUGAGCUGAAGGCAAAUUUCACCCUACCGCCAGAGGAGGAUCCGGAGAAGCCGGUUAUAGAGCAAUUAAUCAAGUCUCAUGCUCUUAAGAAGAUGGCAGACCUAUUCAGGAGGUGGAAGAAUGAGCUGAAAACGUUUGUCGACAAAGAAGAGACACCUGAAUUCAUCGGCCGGUAUGAGAAGAUCAGAGAUCACUGGCCCGCAUUUGUGGCCCACAAGACAUCGGAAAAGAGUAAGAAGAUGUCAGCGACAAACAAGAUGAAUGCUGCGAAGAAGAAGCUUCACCAUCGCACGGGGUCAGGUGGCUACCUCAAAGCCCGGCCUAAGUGGGCCAAGUCUGAGAGGGAUCUGCUUGAUAAAGGGAUCGAACCACAGACAAUGAACUGGCCAGACCGUUGCCGGACUUGGUUCUUCGGGGCUGGCGGAACCUUGGACCCUAUAUCAGGGAGGUGUCGUUGGACGGACGAGCAACUUGCAAUACCCGUCAAGAAGAUUCAGCACUAUAUCGAUGCAGCGCAGCAAGGGACGUUCGUUCCAGACAGAGAGAACGACGAGCUCACAAUGGCCCUCGGGAAUCCUGAGCACCCUGGACGGACACGAGGCACGCUAGGCUCCGUUCCGUGGAAGGCUGGUUUUCCGGACGCGGGCGGUUACAAAACCCAGGAGAGGAGGAAAAAGUGGAGCAAAUCCAAAUUCAGCGUCUGCACGAAAGGGUUCAAGUGCUAG